AUUGAACGCUGGCGGCAGGCCUAACACAUGCAAGUCGAACGAGUGGCGGACGGGUGAGUAAUGUCUGGGAAACUGCCUGAUGGAGGGGGAUAACUACUGGAAACGGUAGCUAAUACCGCAUACCAUCGGAUGUGCCCAGAUGGGAUUAGCUAGUGGGUGGGGUAAAGGCUCACCUAGGCGACGAUCCCUAGCUGGUCUGAGAGGAUGACCAGCAACACGGGAACUGAGACACGGUCCAGAGUCCUACGAGAGGCAGCAGUGGGGAAUAUUGCACAAUGGGCGCAAGCCUGAUGCAGCCAUGCCGCGUGUAUGAAGAAGGCCUUCGGGUUGUAAAGUACUUUCAGCGGGGAGGCGUUACCCGCAGAAGAAGCACCGGCUAACUCCGUGCCAGCAGCCGCGGUAAUUC
rnacentral:rRNA from 1 species